AUUGAACGCUGGCGGCAUGCCUUACACAUGCAAGUCGAACGGCAGCGGACCUUCGGGUGCCGGCGAGUGGCGAACGGGUGAGUAAUAUAUCGGAACGUACCUUUCAGUGGGGGAUAACGUAGCGAAAGUUACGCUAAUACCGCAUAUUCUGUGAGCAGGAAAGCAGGGGAUCGCAAGACCUUGCGCUGAUUGAGCGGCCGAUAUCAGAUUAGCUAGUUGGUGAGGUAAAGGCUCACCAAGGCGACGAUCUGUAGCGGGUCUGAGAGGAUGAUCCGCCACACUGGAACUGAGACACGGUCCAGACUCCUACGGGAGGCAGCAGUGGGGAAUAUUGGACAAUGGGGGCAACCCUGAUCCAGCCAUGCCGCGUGUGUGAAGAAGGCCUUC
rnacentral:rRNA from 1 species